AUGGCCUAGAGGAUGUGAAUUGCACUCAAAUAUAUGCAGGUUUCUUGCCAAACUAACUGCCACUAUUGUAUUUCAGGUCAAGAGCCAUGAAUAGGAGCAAGGCAUCACACUCCAACUCUGAGAAGAAAAGGAUAUGAAGACAAAGAUAUCAGUGUUCUGCUCCGAAGCAAAAACAUUUUGCGUGUAAUAAUGAACUGUAAUUUACCACAAUCUCUAAAACAGGCCUACCUA